GUGACCUGCAGGUCUGGACAUCCCUCAGUUCAGUUCAGUCAGAGCAGCAGAGCUAAUGUCUGAACCACAGCACUGACUUUAAUCGACAUCCAAGCUCAUACAGAUUUCUUUGGUCAGAGGAGAUUUCAUUCAUGUACCCGGACUAGCUGCCUUCCUUGACCGCUAGCUAGUUAGCUAACUAGCUAAGGACGUUAGAUUAUCUUAAAAACACAUUUAACUUAGCGAAACAGUGCGGAGGGGUUUCGUUUCCUUCUGUCGGUUAUUUUCGGUUUAUUGAACAACACCUCAGGCUGUCAGUGUGUAACAGUCGGUGUGGUUUUGGAAAGGUUCAUUAUAACUAAAACAUCAUGCCAGUGUUACAGGAUACUGUUUUCUUCACGCCUGACUCAGCGGAGGAGGAUUUAAAAAACGUACUUACGAUCGUGAUCGACAGUCUGAUAUAACAGACCCCCGCAAGACAAAUCUUGGGGAAGGCUCUAUCUGAGGAGGAGGUUGUCGUCCUAUCCGCUAACGUGGAGGAGGCGGGGAUUAUGGGCUGUCCUGCGGCCGGACACCAGUGGGCGAUUCAGCGAGUAGGGAUGGCGAAAUGCUUUCUUUACCUUUUUUUAUAAUAUGUCUUCCCUUAUUUAAAAACAGAAUUGUUUUUUAACAGAGCCAUUUGUAAUGUAACUACUCGGCACCGCAAUGGAGGGGCUCAGCCGGGCUCCGCUUGCUGAUCACACUUUGAUGACAAGAGGAGUCGGAUUAACGGGAAUCAUGGCGGAGAGGAACCAGGACCAGCAGACCAUAAACCUAGAGACCAGCGACGGAGGGCAGCGCUCCGAAGCUCCCAACGAGCUCCAGGGAGAGGCCAGCUAGCCUUCAAAGGAUUUGCACCAGAGAGAAACUGUACAGCUGUGAUGAAUGUAGAUCACUAUCUACUCAAUCAGGCUCCUUGAGUCGCCAUCAGCAAAUCCAUAUGGAGGAAAGGUCAUCCAUCCAGGGAGACAGGCAAUACAUUUGAAACCAGUGUGAGAAAACCUUUACUCAGAAAGGUACUCUGGUGUGUCACAUGUUAGUUCAGGCUGGAGACAAACCACACUGGGGGAAAGAAUGCAAAGCGCUUUCAGGAAAAGGUUGAACUUGGUGCACUGUGAAAACCUUCAUGACAGGGAAUAAACUGACAGAUUAUGCUGCGGCUGACUGAGACACUCAAGUCCAGACUUUAGUGUAGACCUUUAGAGCUAAAAAUGUAUUGUGCAAGUAGUCUAUACAUGUUAGCAAGGCUGCUGAGAAGUAACCAUCAACAUAUGUGGGAUUGAAACUGAGCAGAUGAAAUGAAUCAGACGUGUGAAAAAUAUGUUUUGUUCUAAACCUCUGAGAUGAUAUAUUGAAUUGACAGUUUUCUGUGACUCCGAUGAACAAAUCAGUUGUUUAACAUUCAGUGCUUUUGUGUUUUUUGGAAGGGAGAUGUAGGAACUUACUGUUACAGUUUGACUUUGCAUCUGGAACUCUUUAGUUCUUGUUGAUCUUGCCAUAAAGUGUUUCACGAUUUUAAAGUGCAAAAUACAGUUCUAUAUUUUAAAGAAACCUCUGAGACGAGUUAUCAAUUUGACGUUGAUCUUUGACUCCAGUGAUCAAAUUAAUUGUUUGAUAUUUUGUAUUUUUGUUUCCU